rnacentral:sRNA from 1 species
UUGCGCCUGCGGCGGACCCGGCACGGCCAUUUUCGUACGAUUCCGAUUCGCAUGUCUGCUGCGGCAUCUGCCGCCGCAGAUGAUGUAUCACUGAGGAUCAGAACGGUAUCAGACUUCGCAGGCAGUCGGCAUGUGUACGGCCCGGUACAUCCAUGAAUUUCAUGGAUUUAAUUUAUUCU